CGGUCGCAGAUUCAGUAGUGUAUGCUUCUCCUAAAGACUAAGCCAUGCAUGCCUUCGAAUAGAAGAGCUUUCUCUCUGAAUCUGCGAACGGCUCCGCAAACCAGUUGUAAACUAUAGCAAGCACGCCGAGGUGCCGGUCGCAAGGCCGGUGCCGAGGUAACAAGGAUAACCCUGGUAAUUCUGAGGCUAAUACAAGAACGUAACCCCUGGUCAACCGGGCAACUGGGAGGCUGGGGAACGUGCGAUUUAUCGCAAAAUCCACUGGGAAUAGGCGCACGUUCAGACCACCAUACCAAACGGUUUCACUGAUCUUCGGAAAGGUGUUUCUGGGUGGCUCUUGCUGUGUGCUUCUGACCUAUCAACUAGAUGGCAGCGUAACGGACAUGCUAUGGUUACAACGGGUACAGAGGAUAAGGGUUCGAUCCUGGAGAGUGGGCCUGAGAGAUUGCUCACACUUCUAAGGAAGGCAGCAGGCGCGCAACGUUCCCCUUGGGCAAUGCUCGAGGGCGUUAGGGGACAUAUGAAUGCCUGCCAUAUGGUGGGCAAUUCAAAUGGGUUUGUUGUAAACAGCCUUUCGAGUAACAAUUAGAGGACAAGUCUGGUGCCAGCACCCGCGGUAAUUCCAGCUCUAAUAGCAUACGUUAAAGUUGUUGCGGUUAAAACGCUCGUAGUCGGCUUCAGAUCUUCAGAAACUCGCGCUUGAAACCAGUCCGCUGCCCCGGUCAAGGGCACGCUGGGGACGGGCAAAGGUGGACGUCGAUCAAACGUGCCUCAGGCUGUCUCCUCGGAGUCACAGGGCUGCUGCCUUCGGGCGGUGGUUCGGCUUGGGGUACCAUUUACUGUGACCAAACUGGCGUGAUCAAAGCAUGUCUUUCGACACGUACAGCGCAGCACAGCAUAAUCGCACUGGUCAGGCCCUAUUUGCGGGGGCCUGGCUGGUAAAAGCGAAAGGGAUGUUCGAGGGUGACCGAAUUGCUGGGCGAGUGGUGAAAUACGUUGACCCUAGCAAGUCGACCAAAGGCGAAAGCAGUCAUCAAGGGCAUGCCCGUUGAUCAAGAGCGAAAGUUAAGGGUUCGAAGACGAUCAGAUACCGUCGUAGUUCCGACCAUAAACGAUGCCAACUAGCGAUCCGGCGGCGUUAUUACCAUGACCCGCCGGGCAGCGUCCGGGAAACCAAAGUCUUUGGGUUCCGGGGGAGUUGGUUUCCAAAGCGAAACUUAAGGAAUUGACGGAAGGGCAACCACCAGGAUGGAGCCUGCGGCUUAAUUUGACUCAACACGGGAAACCUCACCCGGCCCGGACACGGAAAGGAUUGACAGAUUGAGAGCUCUUUCUCGAUUCUGUGGGUGGUGGUGCAUGGCCGCAUGGCCGUUCUUUAGUUGGUGGAGCGAUUUGUCGGUUAAUUCCGAUAACGAACGAGACUCCGGCAUGCUAACUAGUUACGCGGCCCCGUGCGGUCGGCGUCCAACUUCUUAGAGGGACAAGUGGCGUUCACCACACGAGAUUGAGCAAUAACAGGUCUGUGAUGCCCUUAGAUUUGUCUGCUUAAUUGCGAUAACGAACGAGACCUUAACCUGCUAAAUAGCCAGGCCCGCUUUGGCGGGUCGCCGGCUUCUUAGAGGGACUAUCGGCUCAAGCCGAUGGAAGUUUGAGGCAAUAACAGGUCUGUGAUGCCCUUAGAUGUCCGGGGCUGCACGCGCGCCACACUGAGUGGAUCAGCGUGUGUCUACCCUGCGCCGAGAGGCGUGGGUAACCCGCUGAACCCCACUCG
rnacentral:rRNA from 1 species